rnacentral:rRNA from 1 species
AGAGCGAACGCUGGCGGCAUGCUUAACACAUGCAAGUCGCACGGGCAGGGGCAACUCUGUCAGUGGCGGACGGGUGAGUAACGCGUAGGGAUCUAUCCUUGGGUGGGGGAUAACGGUUGGAAACGACUGCUAAUACCGCAUGAUAACUGAGGUUUAAAGGCGCAAGUCGCCUGAGGAGGAGCCUGCGUACGAUUAGCUAGUUGGUGGGGUAAAGGCCUACCAAGGCGACGAUCGUUAGCUGGUCUGAGAGGAUGAUCAGCCACAUUGGGACUGAGACACGGCCCAAACUCCUACGGGAGGCAGCAGUGGGGAAUAUUGGACAAUGGGCGAAAGCCUGAUCCAGCAAUGCCGCGUGUGUGAAGAAGGUCUUCGGAUUGUAAAGCACUUUCGACAGGGACGAUGAUGACGGUACCUGUAGAAGAAGCCCGGCUAACUUCGUGCCAGCAGCCGC